rnacentral:misc_RNA from 1 species
AGGCUUGUAUUCACCACCCCCUGUCGAGACGCUCUUGGCAUCCCUAGCUCGGAUUUCGGCCAACCGCGUGCGGUUCCACCCGGGAGACCAGCUUCCGUCCUAUMUCCUUAGAGGAUGAGGGGACGACGAUUUGUGACACCCUGGCAGACGUGCCCUCGGCCAGAAGGCUUGGGGCGCAACUUGCGUUCAAAGACUCGAUGGUUCACGGGAUUCUGCAAUUCACACCAAGUAUCGCAUUUCGCUACGUUCUUCAUCGAUGCKAGAGCCGAGAUAUCCGUUGCCGAGAGKCAUUUUAAACUUUAUAUCGCAGCACCGUACACGCGCACGCACCGUCUCCGGGGUGGCGAAUGAAGGCUGUUCGGUUGCAUGUUCCUUGAGCUUUUCGUGCCGNGGUUUUGUGAAAUCCGGAAGCUCUGCCCACGACCCGAGCAAGGGKAAAACCCUUGGCAAGGGCCGUAAGCGGAACCACGGAAUCGGCGGGCACAGGAUCGGGUCAAAAACCGGCCCGCCGGGAGUGAUGAUCRGUUGUU